rnacentral:lncRNA from 10 species
AUAUAAUCCAUUAAAUAAAAGUGAAAUCAGCAAGGAAUUAGUGCAGAUAUGAUUGGGCAUGGUCAUUUUAGUUGAAGGAAGAGCAUGAAGAAAAACACUCUCCAGCAAAGGCAAAAAGUCUGAGCAAUGGUCUCAGAGCAAUGGACAGCAAUGGACAGAGAGCAAUGGACAAAUAGACAGCAGUGGGCAAAAAGACCAGAGUCCAUUAGGGAGAUGCAAAAGGAUGUCAAAUGUUGGCAAGUGGCUGAGGAUGGACCAUCCUGUCCUUAAUUUGGGGAGUCAAAGACCUGAUGAGGGGUCACUAAGCAAUAAAAGGCAAUAGAGGAUCAUUUUUAGAUCAGCACCAUCAGAGUCAGACAAAUCUCAACCCUACUUCUGCCUGUGAAUUUCUGCCAGCAGUAGGUUAACUAUUUACCUACAUGUCUGCAAACCACCUACACAUAUCCCCCAAAGUCUACCCUAAAUGUACGCCCAACUCAAUGACCCUGAGCCAGAUCCCCUAAAUGCCAUGGCCACUCCAGUGCCACCUGACCAGAAGGGAAGUGAGACAGAGAGACGUCUGAAUGGAAAGAAGCAGCAUCUUAACUGCUAAAAUAUCUAACUUUUGCAAAGUGUACAGAAGCAAAUGACCAUGGGAACACAUUGCUGUGGCUCCUGUAGCCCUCUGCACAUGGAAGAGGUGACAACUAUAGCCUGCAGCCUCCUGGCAGUAAGAGCUGGAAAGAUGUCCCUAGACCCCAGUCAUUUAGGAGAAAGGAGACCUAAGUGCUUCUUAGGAUAACUCUAGGCAGCCUGGGGAAGGAGAAGACAACCACCAACUGGUGAAAGUGAAAGGAAAAGAUGGGGGCUCCUGUGGAUAUGAGUCUAUUAAAUGCAACAAGCAUGCAUUGAGCAGCCUGAUGUGCACAUGCUGGACUCAAGCUUAAAAGGUGAAAGGUAGUCCCUGCAUUAUAGUGGUUGAAUCUAGAGCUUGCAAACUUAGACCCCACUGGAGGGCUGGAAAAAAACAGGACAAGCUAAAGAGGCAGGGACAAUGGCAAGUGCUUUGGUGUCUCUGGCUCUUGUCAAGUGUUGCUAAGUGAUGGGGCUGGUGUCAUGGGCAAGCCACCAGUACAGUUGCACAGGGCUCUGGGCUCAGAAGGGUCCCUCAGUUGGGUUUUACUGCUCUUAAUUUAAUUUAUUUUAUUAUUAAAUUUUAUCUUUGAGUUUGUGUUUUGUAAGUGAGGUCUGUUGAGACAAUAGAGCAUGCAUGGGGACUUGGAACCUCAGCUCCUCCGUGACUGUCUUUCAUCACCUCUCCAGUUCUUGGCCUCCUUCUUUUCACCCUCUGACUUCUCAGGCCCUAUCUAGCCUUCCUUUUCCUGCUCCUGCCCAGAAACAACUGCUGCUGCCGUUCCCCCUGGGUGUCAAUUAAGUCAAAUCACCAGGAUGCGCAAUAAGGGGGACCCAAUGUUCUUCCAUCCCUCUCUGCUUUCAGUGGGGAUCCAGGAGUAGGCACCAGGAGGGUUGGGGUCUCAGAGCAGGGCAAGACAGUGACCAUCCCCACCCUGAUCUGGGUGACUCAGUGCAGGUGAGCCUCGCAUUCACCCUCAAUGCAACUACUGAGUGUGAUUCAGGGUGGGAUUGCUGUCAGCAGUGGGUUAGGGCUGCAGGAUGGUGAGAAUGGGGAGCAGAGUUUAUGGGAUGGAUGACUCCACAGCUGGUGGGCCGUGCUCACGAGUGGACAAGUUCAUUGAGUCCCCCUGCACAAAGAGUCCCCUACAUCUGUGAGGGGCUGCACCAGCCCCAGAGAAACUGCACGCCCAAGAGGAGCAUGGCUAGCAAAUAGAAAGCACCAUUAUAGGUCCAGAGGCUGCAGAAGAAAGGGCAACGUUUUACAUGCUAGUACUUUAACAGCACUUUCCCCCUGCAUUUGGAACAGGGGGACUUGCAUUUUCAUUGUGCACUGGACCUUGCAAAUGAUGGAACCAGCUCUGCUCAGUGGGUGUCUCAGUCCCAUUAUGCUGCUAUAACAGAACAUCAUAAACUGGGUGCCUUAUUGUCUUAGUCCAUUCUAUGCUGCUAUAAAAGAAUACCAGAGACUGAGUAGUUUAUAAUGAACAGAAAUUUAUUGGCUCAGGGUUCUGGAGCUAGGAAUCCAAGAUUGAGGGUCUGGCAUCUGGUGAGGGCCUUCUUAUCACAUCAUAACAUGGUGGAAGGCAUCACCUGGAAGAAAGGCAAAAGAAAGAGCAUGAGAGACAGAAAAGGAGCCAAACUUGUCAUUUUAUAAGAAACUCACUUCCACAGUGACAAACCCACUCCCAUAAUAAUGGCAUUAAUGCAUUCAUUCCACCUUCAUGGCUUAAUCACCUCUCAUUAGUCCCCAUAUCCCAGCACUGUUGUAUUUGAGAUUACAUUACCAACACAUGAUUUUUUAGGGGACACACUCUAACCAUAGCAUCUAUAAACAAUAGAAUUUGUUUUUCUCAUGGUUCUGGAGGCUGGGAAGUCCAAGACCAAGGCAAUGGUAGAUUCAGUGUCUGGUGAGAACCCACUUCUUGGUUACUUCUUGGUUCAUGGACAACUGUCUUCUUCUGAGCCCUCACAUGGUAGAAGGGAUGAAGGAGCUCUCCUGCAUUUGGAACAGGGGGACCUCUUUUUUUUUUUUUUUUUUCCCAAAUACAGAUUGUUGCUCUGUCGCCCAGAGUUGGAGUGCAAUGGCGUGAUCUUGGCUCACUGCAACCUCCACCUCCUGGGUUCAAGCAAUUCUCCUGCCUCAGCCUUCCAAGUAGCUGAGAUUACAGGCACGUGCCACCAUCCCUGGCUAAUUCUUGUAUUUUUAGUAGAGACGGGGUUUUACCAUGUUGGCCAGGUUGGUCUCAAACUCCUGACCUAAGGGCAGUAAUCCCACUUAUUAGGGCUACAUUGUCAUGACUUAAUCACCUCCCAAAGACCUCACCUCCUAAUACCAUCACCUUGAGGUUUAGAAUUUCAGGGAAUUUUGGGGAGACACAGACAUUCAGAUCAUAGUAGUGGAAAUGCAAGUUGAGUGUUAGAUUUAUGACCUACCAAACAAAAGGAGUGAAACUGAAAUUCUUUGUAAAUUUCCUUAAUUCUAAAUGUCGGCAGUGGCUUUUUUGUUUUUGUAAUAUUGUACAAGCUACAAAUUCCAAUGACUAAGUUGUACUGAUAAUUUUAUGAUACAUAUGUGUCAGUCAGCUUUACCUGUUGAAAAGGUGCCUAUUCAUAUUUAUUGUCCAUUUUAAUUGUUUUUGUCUUUUCAACUUGUAAGUCAUUUUAUCUAUUCUAUUACCAGCCUUUUAUCUGUUAAAUGCAUUUAAAAUCUUAUUCUAUUUAUAAUUUUUCUUUUGACUGUGUUCCUUAUAUCUCUAACAAAUACAAAAAAUGUCAAAAACCCUGUUAAUUUUUCUGUAGUGAAACAGAUACUUCUUUUAAAGCCUCUGAGUUAUCUGCUUUUAAAAGAUCUCUACAACCUUUUUAAAAGAUCUUUCUAAAGAUCUUAAGAGAUCUUUUUAAAAGAUCUCUACAACCUUUUCUUAUAAAGAUAUUCUGCAAUCUAUUUUUCUAAGCUUAUAUUGUUUUAUUUUUACAUUAAAAUGUUUAAUAUACCCCAAAUUUAUUUUUGCAUAUGAUGUGAAGUAAUGCUGACUUUAUUUUCUUUCAAAAGGAGAGUCAGUUUUUCCUAUACCAUUUCUAAAAUAAUUAUUUUCCGCUGAAUUGGAGCUUUGCCUCUGUUAUAUACUAAAUUACCUUGCCUACUAGGAUUUCUUUAUGGACUCUCUGUUGGUCCACUAAUGAAAACCCUAAUGAUUCUCAUGGCUUUAACCACCCUCUCUAUUAAAUUGACUAUAUUCACAUAUAUAUACACACACACACACACACAUACAUACACAUAUAUUUAGCGUGUACAUACAUACAUAUAUAUAUAGGGUGUAUAUAUAAUUAUUUAUAGAUAAUACACACACACAUCUGGAAGGAAUCUCCAAAUUGGCCAUUCCAAUUCCUUCUUUUUACAAACAAGACCUGAGGCCUGGAGAUGGUAGGUGAUGUAGCCAGGAGGCAGAACUGAGAUUCAGCCUAAAGACCUCUUCAGCAAGGCACUUGUUCUACGACUUCACAGUGCCUCUCACCAGAGAGGUGUCCUUAAACACACAGAAGAGUUAAGAACUUUCAACCUGUGCUCUGCAAUGACUUUUCUUGACAAGAGUAUAUAGAGCUACUUUUAGCUCUAUAUCUCUAUAUUCUAUUUGGGCCCCAAUAAUUGGAAAUCGAUAUAAUUUCUCACUGUCCUGAACUGUAUGUUUAUGAAUGCCAG